GACGAACGCUGGCGGCGUGCCUAAUACAUGCAAGUAGAACGCUGAAGAGAGGAGCUUACUCUUCUUGGAUGAGUUGCGAACGGGUGAGUAACGCGUAGGUAACCUGCCUUGUAGCGGGGGAUAACUAUUGGAAACGAUAGCUAAUACCGCAUAACAAUGGAUGACACAUGUCAUUUAUUUGAAAGGGGCAAUUGCUCCACUACAAGAUGGACCUGCGUUGUAUUAGCUAGUAGGUGAGGUAAUGGCUCACCUAGGCGACGAUACAUAGCCGACCUGAGAGGGUGAUCGGCCACACUGGGCCUGAGACACGGCCCAGACUCCUACGGGAGGCAGCAGUAGGGAAUCUUCGGCAAUGGGGGCAACCCUGACCGAGCAACGCUGCGUGAGUGAAGAAGGUUUUCGGAUCGUAAAGCUCUGUUGUAAGUCAAGAACGGGUGUGAGAGUGGAAAGUUCACACUGUGACGGUAGCUUACCAGAAAGGGACGGCUAACUACGUG
rnacentral:rRNA from 1 species